rnacentral:lncRNA from 1 species
AGAUUCUAUUUUAUGACGCUUUACAAAUUUGUUCGUUCUUUUAUGAAAAUAGAUUUUCGACAACUGAAAGAUAAUCCAAGGAUAACUCGGCAACAACUGUUUAAUAAAUUGCCAAAGCUGGCUCGGCUUAUUUUGAUCAAAAAUUCAAACGACAUUCAAUCGCCCACUUACUCUUUUUUUCCUUGUUUUUUUUCAAAUUAAAAUUAUAGACCUGGUUUUGUAAACACGACCUUUCAACACUUCGUGGAUGAAG